AUUGAACGCUGGCGGCAUGCUUUACACAUGCAAGUCGAACGGCAGCACGGACUUCGGUCUGGUGGCGAGUGGCGAACGGGUGAGUAAUACAUCGGAACGUACCCAGUAAUGGGGGAUAACUAUCCGAAAGGAUAGCUAAUACCGCAUACGCCCUACGGGGGAAAGAGGGGGAUCGCAAGACCUCUUGUUAUUGGAGCGGCCGAUGGCUGAUUAGCUAGUUGGUGGGGUAAGGGCCUACCAAGGCAACGAUCAGUAGCGGGUCUUAGAGGACGAUCCGCCACACUGGAACUGAGACACGGUCCAGACUCCUACGGGAGGCAGCAGUGGGGAAUCUUGGACAAUGGGCGCAAGCCUGAUCCAGCAAUGCCGCGUGCGUGAAGAAGGCCUUCGGGUUGUAAAGCGCUUUUGUCAGGGAGCAAAUCCUUGUGGCUAAUACCCACCGGGGAUGAGAGUACCUGAAGAAUAAGGACCGGCUAACUACGUGCCAGCCGCCGCCGUAA
rnacentral:rRNA from 1 species